UGACGGUACCUGACUAAGAAGCUCCGGCUAAAUACGUGCCAGCAGCCGCGGUAAUACGUAUGGAGCAAGCGUUAUCCGGAUUUACUGGGUGUAAAGGGAGCGUAGGCGGUUUUAUAAGUCUGAUGUGAAAGCCCGGGGCUCAACUCCGGGACUGCAUUGGAAACUGUAGAACUAGAGUGUCGGAGGGGUAAGUGGAAUUCCUAGUGUAGCGGUGAAAUGCGUAGAUAUUAGGAGGAACACCAGUGGCGAAGGCGGCUUACUGGACGAUUACUGACGCUGAGGCUCGAAAGCGUGGGGAGCAAACAGGAUUAGAUACCCUG
rnacentral:rRNA from 1 species